AAAAGAUUAGUUAAACAUUAUAACAUUAAUUUGUCAAAUUAAAAUUAUUUCUAAUAUCUUUUC
rnacentral:tRNA from 1 species